CAACAACAGACUCGGUGAAAUUGUAAUUCCGGUGAAGAUGCCGGAUACCUGCGACAGGACGGAAAGACCCCAUGGAGCUUUACUGUAGCUUGACAUUGGGUCUUGGUACUACAUGUACAGGAUAGGUGGGAGGCUUUGAAACCAGGACGCCAGUUUUGGCGGAGCCAUCCUUGGGAUACCACCCUUGUAGUACUGGGACUCUAACCAUAGGCCAUGAAUCUGGUCUUGGGACACUGUCAGGUGGGCAGUUUGACUGGGGCGGUCGCCUCCCAAAAGGUAACGGAGGCGCUCAAAGGUUCUCUCAGUACGGUCGGAAAUCGUACGUAGAGUGUAAAGGCAAAAGAGAGCUUGAUUGCAAGACAUACAGGUCGAGCAAGGAUGAAAAUCGGACUUAGUGAUCCGGUGGUUCUGCGUGGAAGGGCCAUCGCUCAACGGAUAAAAGCUACCCUGGGGAUAACAGGCUUAUCUCCCCCAAGAGUCCACAUCGACGGGGAGGUUUGGCACCUCGAUGUCGGCUCAUCACAUCCUGGGGCUGUAGUAGGUCCCAAGGGUUGGGCUGUUCGCCCAUUAAAGUGGUACGCGAGCUGGGUUCAGAACGUCGUGAGACAGUUCGGUCCCUAUC
rnacentral:rRNA from 1 species